rnacentral:rRNA from 1 species
UACAGAGGUCUCAAGCGUUGUUCGGAUUCAUUGGGCGUAAAGGGCGCGUAGGCGGCGUGGCAAGUCGGGUGUGAAAUCUCAGAGCUCAACUCUGAAACUGCACUCGAUACUGCUUUGCUAGAGGACUGGAGAGGAGAUUGGAAUUCACGGUGUAGCAGUGAAAUGCGUAGAUAUCGUGAGGAAGACCAGUGGCGAAGGCGGAUCUCUGGACAGUUCCUGACGCUGAGGCGCGAAGGCCAGGGGAGCAAACGGG